UGGGGAAUUUUGGACAAUGGGCGAAAGCCUGAUCCAGCAAUGCCGCGUGCAGGAAGAAGGCCUUCGGGUUGUAAACUGCUUUUGUACGGAACGAAAAGGCUCUUUCUAAUAAAGAGGGCCCAUGACGGUACCGUAAGAAUAAGCACCGGCUAACUACGUGCCAGCAGCCGCGGUAAUACGUAGGGUGCGAGCGUUAAUCGGAAUUACUGGGCGUAAAGCGUGCGCAGGCGGUUCUAUAAGACAGAUGUGAAAUCCCCGGGCUCAACCUGGGAAUGGCAUUUGUGACUGUAGAGCUAGAGUACGGUAGAGGGGGAUGGAAUUCCGCGUGUAGCAGUGAAAUGCGUAGAUAUGCGGAGGAACACCGAUGGCGAAGGCAAUCCCCUGGACCUGUACUGACGCUCAUGCACGAAAGCGUGGGGAGCAAACAGGAUUAGAUACCCAGUAGUCCCUGAGCGGGCUGGCAAGGCGCAU
rnacentral:rRNA from 1 species